AAAUUGAAACUUUAAAUAUAUAACGAUGCCAUUUCUUUAUGAAGGGACGUUUCGUUGGUGUGAUGCAAAAUCGACCUGAAUUGGACAACGAAAUUCUGUUUUUUUUUUUGAACAUAGACGCUAGCUGCGUCCGGCUUUAACUUAAUAAAGCCACCAGGCAGAAUCCACACAUAGAGUCUUACAAGCCAAAUAAAGACAGUCAAACGAGCACAUGGCUCAAGAUAUAGCUAAGGAGAUCGCAGCCACAAGUUCGAUAUCACAAAUGCGAAACAUCAAGGCUAAAGCUAGCAAAACGAGGAGGUUCAUGGUGCAGCCAUCAUCCCUUGCCGCGCCUUCACCAUGGUUGUCUUGAUCAGCUCCAUAGUCUCUUUCAUGCGCUCGAUGUCACGCUUCUUCCCCAGCGGUGCCCAUACCUGAAGGAAAAUAUGGCAUUUGAAGAUAAUAUCAGCGGGGUGGGCCGGGAACUUGUGUUCAAUCGUAAUUUUGUUUCGAACCGUCCAGAGGGACCAAAGUAGCGCCCCGACGCAUCUCCACACAAUCCUAGCAUUGGCCCCUCUUUGCGCCGUUAAGAUAGACAACAUGUCGUGGCUAGAUUGUGGGUUCCAAUUUUGAUUGAAGGCGUCUCUCACCGCACUCCACGCAAAUCUAGCGAGCACACAACCAAAGAACAUGUGGUUCGCGUUUUCCCCUAAACCGCAAGUGGUGCACGUGCCGUCCGCCGGCCCAUUUCGUUUGGCAACGUUGUCCGACGUACGUAAGCGGUUGCGAAACAUUUUCCAUAGGAAAAUCUUGAUUUUGAGAGGAAUGUCAGCCUUCCAUAGCCCCCUCGCUAUAUCUAACGUAGUACCCUCAAAUAGCUUGUCAUAUAGGGACUUGAUCGUAAAUCUCUUAGAAGCGGUCAACUUCCACGAGAUCGUGUCCGCCCCAUUACUACGGGUCAGCCCUCCCAAGUUAGCCGACAAAGCGUCCCAGCUAGCGGCCUCCCUAGUCUCUAGAUUCCUAAUGAAAGAGAUGGCUGGAGGUUGGACGCGCAAAGCAUCGGCCACCAUGAUGUUGGUGUCCGUUGCCAAUUGGUACAGUUCCGGAUGAGAUUGCCAUAACGGCUCCUGACCCCACCAGUGGUCGAGCCAGAAGCGUGUGGACUUGCCGUUGUUUACCCGGAACUGCGCACCUACUGAAAACGCCGGUCGAACCGCUUGGAUCCCGUUCCAAAAGGCCGAGCCGUUGAUUUUAGCCUUGAACAAAUUCCCCUCCGGGAAAUAUUUAGCUCGGAGGAUGUCUGCCCAGAGCCCCGACUCGUUUUGGGCAAGACGCCACCACCACUUAGUUAGCAGGGCCACAUUCAUGAGUUUAGAAUUCGUAAUACCUAGGCCGCCAAAUUUUUUUGGCCUACACGCCGCUGCCCAUUUCACUAAGUGGUACUUGCGCUUGGUCCCGGCUCCUUCCCAAAAGAACCGGGAACGAGGAGUAUCGAGUCUUGUGUGAACCCCAUCCGCUAGUAGGAACAUCCCCAUUGUGAAUAUAGGAAGGGACGAUAAGCUCGAGUUGGUUAGGAUGAGCCUCGCCGCCGAGGACAUAAACCUACCCCUCCAAGGGCUCACUCUGUUAGCGACCUUCCCAUACAGCGGUUCCCAUUCCGCUAUGGUAAGUUUCUUGGUCGAUAUCGGGAGGCCCAAGUAUUUAAUCGGAAAGCUCCCUAGCUUGCAAUUAAGUAGAUUCGCAACCCGCGAGCUAGCUAGAUCAUCCAUCCCAAUGGUGAUCACUUCGCUCUUCAGAAAGUUGAUCUUAAGCCCUGAUAAGAUCUCGAACGCAAGCAGAAGUAGCUUGGUGGUAGCUAUGCUGUGGUCAUCGGGUUCGAAUAAGAGCAUCGUAUCGUCUGCGUAUUGCAGAUGCGUGACCCCACCCGGAAUCAGAUGAGCUACGAGCCCUUUAAUGUGUCCCGCUGCCCUUGCUUUAUUAAUCAUGGCCGCUAGGGCAUCCGCAACAAAGUUAAAGAUGAGCGGGGAGCUUGGGUCUCCCUGACGGAGACCACGCUUGUUACGAAAGAACUUGCCCGUUGUGCCGUUGAUAUUGACCGCCGUGUGCCCACUACACACGAGGUGCAUGAUGCGAUGUACGAAUCCUGCCUCAAAACCUUUUUUGAGGAGGACUUCUCGCACGAACUCCCAGUUAACGCGAUCGUACGCUUUCUCGAAAUCUAAUUUGAGUAGCACUCCCUGUGCCUUGGUCCUUUUCAACUCGUGAACGAUCUCUUGUAGCGCAAUUGGUCCCUCGAGGAUGUUGCGGUGUUUGAGGAAACCCGUUUGACUAGAGCUAAUCACUCGUUGAGCGACCGGAGCCAAGCGCGAGGCAUACGCUUUCGCACAAAUUUUGAACGGUACGUUGAUCAAGGUAAUGGGUCUAAAAAGCUUAAUGUUAUCCGCCCCUUUCACCUUAGGAAUAAGGCUAAUGGCUCCAUAGUUCAACCGGGAAAGGUCCACUGUGCCUAAAGCGAAGCCGUUGACAAUAUCGUAAAACAAGUGCUUAAGGCAGGGCCAAAACUGCUUAAAGAACUCCACCGGCCACCCGUCCGACCCAGGCGCCGUGCUCGUUUUCAUGCCGUGUAAGGCCUGGUCUAUUUCCUCAGGAAGGAAAGCAAGGGCUAACCUAUCGUUCUCUUCCUGCGAGACACGCUCCGCGGUAUCCCACAAAUCACCGCGCAGGCGUAAAGGUUUUUCAACGGCCGUCCCCAAAAGGCCUAUGAAAAACUCGUAGAUAUGAGCCACGAUUUGGUCCUGCGCCAACAGGACACCUUGGUCUGAUUGGAGACGCAGAAUGGUGCAUUUCCUUUUCCUCCCGUUCGCAUAGGCAUGGAAAUAUCCUGUGUUUGCGUCUCCUUUCGUGACCCAUUUGACUCCGCCCCUGCGUCGCCAAUAUUCCUCUUCCGCGCGCAAAAUCGCCGUUACUUGAUUUUCUAAUGCGUACCUAUGCGCCCACUCGGCCUCCGAGAAGGGCCGGCGAUCUGCCUCCAUAUCUAACAACGCAAUAGACUCAACUAUGCGCGCGCGCUCUUUCUUGGACUCACUACCGUGGUUGGCGCCCCACCCUCGCAGGAAGGCACGCAGCUUGCCAGCAGCCGCGACCCAGCUCUCUGCUGGGCCGCGUUGGGGCCCCAGAUGAGAACAAAUCGCGCCCCAACGCUCUACCACCAUCUGGGCAAAUCCCUCUGCUUCGAACCACGCCGUUUCGAAGUAGAACCUAGGGCUACGGUGGAUGAGCUCCUCCCCUGAGGAAAAUAUGAGCGGAACGUGGUCUGAUCCGAUGUGCGUCUCCGCCACGAGGGAGCACAUGGGGAACAGUACCUCCCAUUCCGGUGUAAAGAAGACCCUAUCCAGCACGCUACGGACCGGCUGCAUUUGCUUGUUAGUCCAGGUAUAUCUGGCACCAGUCCGUGCUGCUUCCCGCAAUGCUGUUGCCGCAAUGGCAUUAUUGAAUAAGGACACCCUCGUCCAGUCAAUAUUAGCAUUAUUCUUAUCCGCCCCCGAGCGAAUUAAGUUAAAGUCGCCCCCUACCACCACAGGGAGGUUGAUUGCCCUUUUGGCCCCAACCAGGUUGGUCAGUUCUAACAGGAACGCUGGCGAUCUGGAGUGGUCGGCCGGCCCAUAGACACAAACGACCACCCACGACAAACCAGAAACACGAUGUUUAAUAGUAGCAGAUAAAAGGAAAACACCAACAUCCCAAUGCAGAACAUCACAUACAUCCUUAUUACAACCCAACAGAAUGCCACCAGAAUGACCGACAGAGGGAACCCAAUGCCAAACAAAACGUUGUAGAGGAUCAUAAGCAAGCAAUUCUCUGAAGGUAAAAUCAGAUUUAAUCGUCUCUUGUAGCGCAACCACGUCAAUAUGUUCUUUGGCCAUGUAUUCUCUAAGCUGCGUGCGCCGACCACCGUGGCCACAACCACGGAUAUUCCAGAACAUGUAUCGCAUCUAAAUCACCAUGUUACGUAGGCGCACACCUCGAGAGGUCACCGCCUUCGCCACUCUCUUCCUAGCCGUCACUCGGCCAUUAGAAGGAAGGACACUAGCUUCCCUAGCUAGUGUCACCUCGUCGGGCACUCUCUCGUCACCAGCCUCUACUGGCACAAUGGCUAACACGUUGUUGCUAGCACAGCGCACGGCGGCGGCCGCCAGCGCAGCCUGCGCCUCUUCCCUAGCGUGCACAAGUGGUAUAAUUUCGGACUGCGACCCUCGGGUCUCCACCUCACAGUCAUCUAGAAUGCUCACCAGGUGUUCAUCCGAGAAGGCAUUAAGAAUGCGGAAAGAUGGCAAGGGGUUACCUGCGGCGUCCAUGUUCUUGUCGGCGAUGCGGAGUUUGGCGCUCUCCAAGGAAGAGAGAUCGCCGAGCUUGGCCUUGGCCCGAACGCUAGGGGCGCGCUGCACCACCGGGAUCGCCUUGGUGCGCCUGGCCUUGUUGUUAGUCCCCGUCGUCCCUAGCGCUGCUCCCAACUCACCACCAAGGUCAGAAUUCUCCACCUCCGUCACCACCGUCGCCUGCUUGUUCGCCGGUUUCCUCCCCGCCGUUUUCUUAGGUUGCCUGUCCCCGCUGUUGGAACCCCGACGCGGAGCAGGCGUAAGGUCAGCAGGCUCGAUCACCACGCACCCAGAGUCCGCCCCCACGGCCACUGGAGAGGAAGAGGUUGGAAGAGAGGCAGCAGAGGAGACCCCGCCCGCGCCAGUCAGAGUCGCCGCCACCUGGGGCGGGGCAAGGUUGGUCCCGUACUCGUUGAAGGAGAGCUCCAGCGACCUGGCUAGCGGGGGCCCGCUCACCGCUGUGUCCUGAGUCGCCACCCCCAUGGCACCAAUCUCAGCCGACAGCGCACCCAACUUGUCCCAAGUUUCCGUGUCAAUGGACGUGUCCUGGAUGCUGUCGUCUUGAUCCUCUCCCCUGUCUUGCAUCUUGGUAUCCUGGUUCUCCGCACCACGAGGCCGCCCUCGCACCCUUGCGGUUCCUUGCCUGGUUCGGCCCUGCCGUGUUUUUCCAUGCCCAGCGUCCGAGCGCCCGGAUUCGCGUCCUUGUCAGGAGGGUUGGCAGGGCCUGCUCCCAGCACGGCCCGCUCACCACCCCUUUUGGGAAGGGACUCGCGCUCCACCUUGAUUUGGUAUCCCUCGUGGUUGAACCACACCUCGACGACACCAUUCAGCUUCUCCGGGGCUUUGCAAGCAAGCUUCAUCCGAACAGGCCCCAACCAGAGAAAGUUCAUCGACCACAAUUGGCCGGCCCAGCAUCCGGAACCCCUCCCUGAUGCGAUCUUCACGCCUAUGUUUCUUUGGGAUGCCAUGGAGCCACACCCAAGUCUCCGGCAUCACCAUGGGCUGGACCUCCUCGUGUAACAUGUCGCGCACCCGCGCAGUGAUGUCAUUGAUGGACAGAAACAACUUACCACUAGACUUCCCCAUGUGUAACAGAUCUGCAGAAGGAAAGACCACCACGAAGUCGUCAUCACCCAGUUGUGUUACCUGCCAAUCCCAGUCUCCAGUCACCAUGUGCUUCAGUUCUUGUUUGAGGAUCCGAAGAUUCAGCUUCCCCGGCUCCGCAGAUAAGAUGGCCGCGUUCUUGAUGCGAGCAUCGAUGGGGGCUUCGGUCUCGUCCGCGUCCUCGAACUCUAGGCAGAAAAAUCCUUCCCCAGAUAUGGCGCUUCCCAUGAUCUGAAGGUGAAGCUGCCGGCCCCUCGUCGGACAGUGAGCGGACGUGUGCCCUUCUUCCUUGCAGAGCACACAAAGGGGCAAGAACUUGCACUGGGAUUGGAAGUGGCCGGGGCGCCCGCACUUGAAGCACUCCACGUCCGGUGCCACCUCCAUUGGGAUGGGUUCCUCCGCCGUACCCUUAGGUGCAGAGGGCAGCGCCACCGCCAGUGGAUCUGCACGCGGCUUCUUGGCCAUUGUGUCCCCGUGGCCCCCACCACAGUUGGGGUGCGGCUCAUGCUUCCUCUCAAGCUCUCGUCGCCGCUGCUGAACCUUCUUUUUCUUCUUGCGCUCCUGCUGCUGGAUCCACCACGGGGGAGGAGGACCCCAAUCCCCCUCACGCCCGCCCUGGUCGCGAGAUCUGCCUCGCUCUUCUCUGGCCUCGCGGCCACCCGAACGCUCGCGCAUCACUCGCUUCGCCUUGUCACGUAGUUCCCGCUCCCUACGCCGUUCCGCCUCCGGAUCUGACACCUCCAUCGGCCGCUUGUCCGCACGCCUAUCUCCCAUCACCACUGCCGCGAAAGAAUGGAGAAGGGGGGGGAGGAUGGGGGCAGAUCUGGAUCGUGCGGGCGGAGUGAGCAAGGCGCCGCACCUCGCGAGUGGUGGCUGGAAACCCUAAACGGGGAUCCAGGCAACCCCUCCUCACCCACUUAUAUCCAGUGGUCGGGCCAGUGUCGGGCCGCGGCGCGUUGGGCCGUUGGGUUACCUGAGGUCGCGGGUCCGAGGUCGUCUCCAGUCCUAAUCCCACUGGAGGGUCGGAGAACGCCCCAGCCUGUCCCCCCAGCCCAGGCCCAGAACCCUCAUCCAGCCCCGCGCCCGACGCCAGCCCAGGAAGGGCCCCCACCAACGGCCCAUCCGGCCCAACCCUAGGGCCCGGUGCCGAGCGCAUCGUCUCCGGACCGCACGGCGCCCCCGCCGCCUCCGCCACCGCCGCCACAGGGGGCGCCGGCAGGCACGGCCAGUCCUCCCUGGACAGCUCCGUCUGCUGCACCAUCAGGCUCGCCGCCGCCUUGGCUCGAAUACACGUCGCCGCCCCCGACGAACCGCCAGCACCCGAGCCCGAGCUGUACUCCCGCGACGGCAGCCAGAUGCGUGAGGCCAUGGAUCUGGAGCCACGGCCGCCCGGCGCGAAGCGUCUCCCACGCCCCGAGCGCGAAGCUACACCGCUCUGCUUCGCUGCCAAAGCCACAAAAUCUCCAAUCGACGGCCCUGCCGGCACCGCGCGCAGGCCCCGCUCCGGAUCCAGCUCCCCGCCUUCGUCCUCCUCUUCCGAGUCCUCCGCCGCCAGCGCCCAGAAGCGGUUGUGGCGACCGCCGACCCCCGCUGCAGGUGAGCCGGCGCGGCCCUCCCCGCCGCUCACCUGUAGUACGCUCGCGUUGCGCCGGACCACAGACCAGCCCUCCGUCCCCGCCACGGCUGGCUGCCACACCGCAGCAGGCGCGUCGCCCAAGCUGUCGCCCAAGCUCGUAACCAUUUUUGUUGGGGUUCAGAUCAGAAGACUAGUCCACUGAUCUGCAAAUCAAGCAAGGGCUACGGCCAUGGAUGUGUUGAGAUGAACAGGAUUUUAUCCAUACCUGUAUGUUCUUCGAGCUCGAGCGCUGCGCACUGUUGAAGGAGCUCGAGUCGACUGGGUUCCGGCCGGUCGGCAGCCUUGCGUCGUCGUUCGAGAUUUGGUGAGGCUCCGGGAGAAAGGGGAUUCGGCUUGGCUUCGGGGGGAGAAUGUGAGCUGUUGAGGAGAGACUGCUCAGUGCAGGGAUGUAAUAACGCUCUCUCACUCUGGUAGCAGCAUGUUCCCCGGCCGCCCACCCAACCGCCCACCCGAGGAUUCCCGGGCGUGAUUGGACGGGUGGUGUAAUGCUGGACUGGCUCCCUUCUGGUGUGCACGAACACGAUGGCGAAUAGAAUACGAGCUCGCCACCGCCCAGAAGGUGGACUACCUCCAAGUUUUGCGCCAACGAAAUUCUGUUUGACUUCGAUGACGGUACAGGCAGGAUUCAGGGCAGGA
rnacentral:lncRNA from 1 species